rnacentral:rRNA from 1 species
GAUGAACGCUGGCGGCGUGCCUAAUACAUGCAAGUCGAGCGAACAGACGAGGAGCUUGCUCCUCUGACGUUAGCGGCGGACGGGUGAGUAACACGUGGAUAACCUACCUAUAAGACUGGGAUAACUUCGGGAAACCGGAGCUAAUACCGGAUAAUAUAUUGAACCGCAUGGUUCAAUAGUGAAAGACGGUUUUGCUGUCACUUAUAGAUGGAUCCGCGCUGCAUUAGCUAGUUGGUAAGGUAACGGCUUACCAAGGCAACGAUGCGUAGCCGACGUGAGAGGGUGGUCGGCCACACUGGAACUGAGACACGGUCCAGACUCCUACGGGAGGCAGCAGUAGGGAAUCUUCCGCAAUGGGCGAAAGCCUGACGGAGCAACGCCGCGUGAGUGAUGAAGGUCUUCGGAUCGUAAAACUCUGUUAUUAGGGAAGAACAAAUGUGUAAGUAACUGUGCACGUCUUGACGGUACCUAAUCAGAAAGCCACGGCUAACUACGUG